GAAAUGCGAUAAGUAAUGUGAAUUGCAGAAUUCAGUGAAUCAUCGAAUCUUUGAACGCAUAUUGCGCUCCUCGGUUUUCCGGGGAGCAUGCCUGUUUGAGUAUUGGUAUAAUGGGUGAUCUUCCUUCGAAUUUCGAAGUAAAAAUCUUUAAAACCCUAUUGAGACGUCUUGGCAAUCUUUUUUGACGAGUGUCUUUAAAUUCAGAAUGAUCCGUGUUUUAGUACAAGACAAACAUGCGGGAAGUAAUAUCAGCGCUGUUACAGGUGGUUUUAUACUUGUUUCUUGGUUGUUUAACUACUAGAAUGUGGCAUUGAAUGUUGUUGAAGUCGACAUUCAUUGGUUCUUAAAAGGAACAAAAUCUCAAUCUCAAAUCAGGUAGGAUUACCCGCUGAACUUAA
rnacentral:misc_RNA from 1 species